UACGUAGGGCGCAAGCGUUGUCCGGAAUUAUUGGGCGUAAAGAGCUCGUAGGCGGCCUGUUACGUCUGCUGUGAAAUCCCGGGGCUUAACCCCGGGCGUGCAGUGGAUACGGGCAGGCUGGAGGCAGGCAGGGGAGAACGGAAUUCCCGGUGUAGCGGUGAAAUGCGCAGAUAUCGGGAGGAACACCGGUGGCGAAGGCGGGUCUCUGGGCCAUAACUGACGCUGAGGAGCGAAAGCGUGGGGAGCGAACAGG
rnacentral:rRNA from 1 species